UCCUUUCUUUUUCUUCUUCUUUUUCUUUUUUUUCGAUUUACCUUUUUGAGCCUUCUUAUGCAUG
rnacentral:ribozyme from 13 species